AGAAGCGGCAACGUUCAGCACCAAAAGCAACAACGGCAGCAGAGGCAAUUCAAAUCAAAAUUUAAAUUAAAUGAAACGAAUCGAAUUGAGAAGAAUCGGCGACUAGAAGAGGAUGCUGGAGAUGCCGACGGGCUGUGAGAUGCUGCCGGGACCCUUUGGACAAUCACUUAAAUGUCGUCACGAGUCAUGACGCACAAAUAAAAAGGCCCACAAUAUUAGAGAUCUACACUGUUCAAAAGGUGGCGAAAUAAAUGUUAAUAAGAGGGCUAUGUGAUUUUUGGCUAUGUUCGUUGCCUAAGUCUUUUGUUUUGAAAAUAUCGAAUACAAUUUCUUUAAGCAAAUGUGACAUUUACAGGAAAUCGGAUUCGAAAGAUUUCAUUCACACAAUUACUCUUUAACU
ensembl:ncRNA lncRNA:CR45739 long non-coding RNA:CR45739